rnacentral:SRP_RNA from 1 species
GCCGAGCUCGCUCACGAGAGCUUGUAACCCAAGUGGGGGCUUUAUAUGGUGGUGGGACGUUGGGCCCGUCAAUUGGGCCGGGCCUUAUGUGGCUGUCCACUGGCUUGCCCGUUCCAAGCCCGGAGUUGGCCCGCGGGGCUCGGACGAAGGUUCGGGCUUCGCGGGCCUUAGAGAGGAGGGGACUGCGCUAGGCUGGCUUCACAGAGCAGCGACGACCUCCCGCUCCCGGCAGUGGAAGGAUAACAGGCCGGAGCUGCACGGGCCCAAUAUGGCCCAGCGGGCUGGCCCUUAAUUGAACCACCACUUUU